GUGGGGAAUCUUAGACAAUGGGGGCAACCCUGAUCUAGCCAUGCCGCGUGAGUGAUGAAGGCCUUAGGGUCGUAAAGCUCUUUCGCCGGGGAAGAUAAUGACGGUACCCGGUAAAGAAACCCCGGCUAACUCCGUGCCAGCAGCCGCGGUAAUACGGAGGGGGUUAGCGUUGUUCGGAAUUACUGGGCGUAAAGCGCGCGUAGGCGGAUCGGAAAGUUGGGGGUGAAAUCCCGGGGCUCAACCCCGGAAUUGCCUUCAAAACUCCCGGUCUUGAGGUCGAGAGAGGUGAGUGGAAUUCCGAGUGUAGAGGUGAAAUUCGUAGAUAUUCGGAGGAACACCAGUGGCGAAGGCGGCUCACUGGCUCGAUACUGACGCUGAGGUGCGAAAGCGUGGGGAGCAAACAGGAUUAGAAACCCUGGUAGUCC
rnacentral:rRNA from 1 species